GACGAACGCUGGCGGCGUGCUUAACACAUGCAAGUCGAGCGGUAAGGCCCUUUCGGGGGUACACGAGCGGCGAACGGGUGAGUAACACGUGGGUGACCUGCCCUCAGCUCUGGGAUAAGCCUGGGAAACUGGGUCUAAUACUGGAUAUGACUCCACGGUGCAUGUCGUGGGGUGGAAAGCCUUGUGCGGCUGAGGAUGGGCCCGCGGCCUAUCAGCUUGUUGGUGGGGUGAGGCCUACCAAGGCGACGACGGGUAGCCGGCCUGAGAGGGCGACCGGCCACACUGGGACUGAGACACGGCCCAGACUCCUACCGGGAGGCAGCAGUGGGGAAUCUUGCGCAAUGGGCGAAAGCCUGACGCAGCGACGCCGCGUGAGGGAUGACGGCCU
rnacentral:rRNA from 1 species